UCACAACUCGUCUUCAGUGGACUGCUCGUUACAGGCUGUCUGCAGUUUUGAAGUGUGAUCAAAAAACAUGAAAAUCAAUCACUUUUGAUAUUAUUGAUGUCCAUCAAAAUAUGGCCUGUUCCUUACACAAAGCUAUUGCAAGGCUUCGGAAAACGUGGAAUGCAGCAUAAGUAAUAUGAAACUAAUAACAGCAUACAAAUGCAACAAUAUGGGGAAAAAUCUAGCUCAUUGAGGUAUCCUGACCCUCUAUGCUUGUUGUCCACUGGGCUGGUCACCGCUUCCGAG